rnacentral:rRNA from 1 species
CCUACGGGUGGCAGCAGUGGGGAAUAUUGCACAAUGGGGGAAACCCUGAUGCAGCAACGCCGCGUGAGUGAGGAAGUAUUUCGGUAUGUAAAGCUCUAUCAGCAGGGAAUAGAGAAGAAUUUGCCGGUAAAAGAAGCCUAGGCUAACUAUGGGCCAGCAGCAGCGGGAAUACUUAGGGGGCAAGCGUGAUCCGGAUAUAAUGGGUGUAAAGGGAGCGUAGGCGGAAAGGGAAGUCAGAAGUGAAAAACCAAGGCUUAAACAUGGGACUGCGUAUGAAACUGUCAAACUAGAGUACGGGAGAGGUAAGAGGAAUUACAGGUGUAGCGGUGAAAUGCGUAGAUAUAAGGAGGAACACCAGUGGCGAAGGCGUCUUGCUGGAUCGAAACUGACGUUGAGGCUCGAAAGCGUGGGGAGCAAACAGGAUUAGAUACCCUUGUAGUC